GCCCCCCACUUUUCCCUCUUUUGUUUCGCUUUGGAAUGGAAAUUAUGAUAAGAGCUUAUUUGGUAGUAAUUUAAUUCUCAGCUACAUGGCCACUUAGGUUCGAAGGCCAAUGAUGCAAAAAAAAAGUAGGAAUUUGUACAGGUGCCAAAACAACUAAAUAAUGACACCUACAACAAAGGAGAUUUUCUUGGAAAAGUGCACAUGCAAAUGUGAUUACAACAACAAGUACAAAUUUUAAAAAAUAAAAACAUGGGAAGUUUUCGAACUGAAGCGUGUUUCAUCUAUUGGA
rnacentral:sRNA from 1 species